CCGGGAGCAUUGAUUUUGAGAUUGCAAACUAGUUUUAGUGGGUAAUGCAAGGCACUUGUAUUGGUUCGAACCCCGAGCGCACGCCAACAGACAACACAAGGCGGUGUGGAGCAACACGCUGUUUUAAUAAGCGCCCGAGCGCCGGCGGGCUGAGGCCUAAAAUGGCGUCAGCCCGAAACGGGGACGGGGCAGGGGUUUUAUAGUCUCCUGUUAACAGGACGUGUCUGACGUAACUGCUACGCUUACCCAGACGGCCUCUCUCUUGGUCUUCGGCGGGUACGUGUCUUCCGGCCAGCUCUCUUCCGCUUCUGCUGUCUUGAUGACGCACAGUGCUGGCGCAAGUCGUCUUGCGCCAGGCGACUGGGUCUGAGGAGGCAGGAGUUAUUCAUUCCCUUAAGCUUUCAGGCCGGGGGGAGAAUCUUUCAGGUGGUAGCUGCAAGAACUCUUAGUAUGUUGACCUCACCUCUGCCUUCCACAUACCACUACCAGUGAGGAAUUAGGAAUGCAUGAGAAGAGUGUCCAAGAAGAGUGUCCUCAUUCAUGCAAGGCUUAAGAGAGAAUGCAGGUCAACAUCACCAUGUCAAUCAGAGAAUACUUCUGUUGGGUUGAAUGACUCUCUGCCCCCAGAGAUGGAGUUUCAACACGUUGCCACAUGCAUGCAACUUGGUUCAGGUCUCUCAGAUCAUCACACUCCUCUGGCCACAAUUGCUGUAAACAUGGGCAU
rnacentral:lncRNA from 10 species